rnacentral:lncRNA from 1 species
CUCUUAGGUCUUGGUAAUCUCCUACUGUAUCAUGCGGAGCUCCUUCUGUAAAUGCAUGGACACGCCAUCACUAGCCAUGGAUGGGAUUAUAAUAGCUCUAAUAGCUUUGAUAUGACCUGGAAUUUAGAAAAAAAAUAACAGAAGAAAAGAAGGAAAAGAGAAAGAAAGAAAUAGAGAGAAGAGAAAUAACAGAAGAAAAGAAGGAGAAGACAAAGAAAGAAAUAGGGAGAAAAAAAUGUUUUCUAUAAUUCAAUUCUAGAAUUCACAUAACCACCUCCUUAACAACUGAAAAC